rnacentral:snRNA from 1 species
CAUUUUUGGUAAGCAGAAC